CCUACGGGUGGCAGCAGUGAGGAAUAUUGGUCAAUGGCCGAGAGGCUGAACCAGCCAAGUCGCGUGAGGGAAGAAUGUCCUAAGGAUUGUAAACCUCUUUUGUCGGGGAGCAAAAAGGCUCUGCGGAGUCGUAUUUAGAGUACCCGAAGAAAAAGCAUCGGCUAACUCCGUGCCAGCAGCCGCGGUAAUACGGAGGAUGCGAGCGUUAUCCGGAUUUAUUUGGUUUAAAGGGUGCGUAGGCGGAAUAUCAAGUCAGCGGGAAAAAUUCGGGGCUCAACCCCGUCGUGCCGUUGAAACUGAUGUUCUUGAGUGGGCGAGAAGUAUGCGGAAUGCGUGGUGUAGCGGUGAAAUGCAUAGAUAUCACGCAGAACUCCGAUUGCGAAGGCAGCAUACCGGCGCCCAACUGACGCUGAAGCACGAAAGCGUGGGUAUCGAACAGGAUUAGAUACCCAUGUAGUC
rnacentral:rRNA from 1 species